GCGGGAUCUGCUCUCUCCUGGGAAGACGGCUGUUGAGCAAUUACAACCAAAGGUGCUGAAUGGGGAGUAUUCUGAUAGGAAGAGCCUGGGCCCGGAGGCGAAAGAAGGUCAAUUUGGCCAGAGCUUACUGUUUUCUAUUCCCUAAAACAUCAGAUUCCAGUGGCUUAAUGUCUAGGGUCGCUGAAUAAAUAACUCCAAACACUGCUCCACUAGAAAGAAGAGCUAACAUGUGUGGAACUCUUGCCAUGUGGCUGGGCACUGAGCCAAGUCCUUUACAAAGAUGGUCUCCCUUAAUCCUCCCAGGAAUCCUGAGUUCGGAACCCCAUAUCACAGAUGAAGAAGCUGAGGCUGAAAGAGGAUAAGCAUGUUGUCUGUGGUCACAUCGAAUGAAGUGGCAUAGCCACAAAUUAAACCCUGGUCUGUCUGAUUCCAGAGCUCACGGUAACAACCAUGGAUGCUUUUUUCCCCCACAUGCCCAGGAACUGGAAAACCUGUAACAAAAGGCACUGAGAACUCAGGGCCAAGAGAGCCUCUGCACCUUCCCAGCUUACUCCCAAAGAGCCACGAGCUGUGCAGGGAUGGUCUCAGCCCAUGGGAACAAGAGCGGGAACUUGGGGUGACCACGUCAGAGAGCAUCUUGGGAGAUGAUUCAUCUACAAAUUGAGUAGUCCCUAAGUUUGACCCGGGAUGGGGAGAGUAGCUAGCGGUGCUGGUGGUGAUUCGGGCUUGCCAGUGAGUGACCUGUCUUCUAUCACAUGAGAUGUUCCUGAAUUGCUACCAUGACUCAGCUUGAGUCUGUACAACCGUGAAUACAACCGUGAGCUUCCUCAGCAGCCUCUCUUCACGCCCCCCACAUGGUUUGAGAUGAGUCUGUGCUCAUGGGCACUGCUGAGUUUGUGUCACGUAUUCUCAAUGAAGGCAUGAGUGAGUCAUGUUUCCAUGUGUCUCCCCGUCAGUUCUAUUUGCUGUUCUGUAGUUACCACAGGCUUAGUCCAUACACCAUCUCCUUCCUCGGAGGGAUUCUUUUACCCCAUAUCUCAAUUAUUGUUAAAUAUGUCACCUUCCUUUCCAGACUCAAGCACAGUGAGCCUCAGAGUUGAAUUAAUCUGCCUAAACCCCACUAACUACAGGGGUACUGCCUCUUCUUGACAACAGCUAGUACUACUCUACUGGUGCAAUACUGCAACUACCACCACCA
rnacentral:lncRNA from 1 species